CAAUGUGAGGCUCAAUCCCAGGACCCUGAGAUCAUGACUUGAGCUGAAGGCAGAGGCUUAACUGUUCUACCCAGGCACACAUACAUAUUCUUUCUUAACGAUUUUAUUUAUUUUUUAGAGAAAGAGAGAGUGCAAGCCAGGAUGCGGGCAGAAGCAGAGGAAUGAGGGGAAGAAUUUCAAGCAAACCUGAUCUGGUGCUUAAUCCCAUGACCCUGAGAUCAUGACAUGAACAAAAACCAAGAGUUAAGACACUUAACUGAAUGAGCCACCCAGGUGCCCCAAGUAUAUACAUUAUUUAUAAGAGAAAAUAUUUGAUAUACUAGUUACUUUAAGCAUAUUUUAGUUACUUUUAAAAUAAUAGACAAGGGGAUAUCUGAAGUAUUGCUCUUAGAUUUUAUAAUCUUUGACAAUCCGUAGCAUAUACCAGAAUGACCUAAUUAUGUCCGGGAUUAAAGAAUCCUACAUUCAUCAUAAAAAUUCAAUCUUUAUAAUAAAAUAAUACUGCUAAUAAGCUCGUUAAAGUUGGCAUUUACAAAUAAAAUUCUAUUAGACGAUUGUGAUUCCAGGAUUGCAAUAUAUGUUGAUAAUUAGUUCUUUAGAAAACAUUUUUAUCAUUGAGAUUUUUUUAAAUGUGAUAUCAAAUUUUGUUGUUAUUGUCAACUGAUCCUUUAUUGAAAUAUUUUUGUUUGUAGGUCUUAACUAGCUGGGCAUUCUACUGCACCAUUCUUGAUAUUAUCCAUGAAGUCAUGAUGGUGGCUCCCAUCAACAUUGCAGCCCUCACACCGGGCAGUCGCUGGGGUCUCUUUAAUGGUUCCGGAGAGCCUUCUGGCUAAAGAUUGGUGCUACAUCUGUCAGGCAAUGUGACAGUUUCACCAAAAGUGGUAUUUCCGUUGUGCUUAAUGUUUCUCUGCUUCUUUUUGGCUCUUGGCAAUUCCUUGAGGGCUUUGAUAAUCAGAGCAAAAGCAGAGGUACCACUUAAAUUUGGGCCUGUCUGUUCUGAAUGGUCAGUUUCACUGUAAUCCUUAGACCCUUGCCAUCACUGGUUGCCUUGGUGAUGUCAUCACCAACCUUUUUUGGAGACAGGCCCAGGGGGCUGAUCCUCAUGGCCAGGGCAGAUAUGCACUGACUUCCCAACCCCAUGUACCUCAGAUAUAGGACUUUUAACUCUUUGGGGUAGAAUUUAGGUGGCAUGGUGGAGGCAGAUGGUGUUGGAUGAACCUGGAUUCUGGAGAACCAAAGAGAGCCGUACCUGGGCCUUCUCUAAAUCAAAGCCAAAAGACUCAGUAUCCGAUAAUUUCUGAAUGCAAAUUAAUACUGGUGAACAGUUGCUAUCUACAAACAUAUUGUUUUUUACCACUAGUACAGAAAUAGCUAUAUAAAAAUGAUAUUUGCAAGACAUAUUAUCUAUAAAAUGUUUAAUAAAACCUCUUACUGAACAAACUCUUGCAGGUAACUAGAAGAGGACAUAUCAGAGGAUAUCCCCAGACUAAAGCAAAACUGAAUGGAAGAUAUAUUUCACAUAGACCCUGGCAAAUAUGAAUCAAGCUGCUAUAACAUGCGUGUACAGGUUUUUGUGUGGACAUAGUAUUUUUUAAGAGCUGGAAACCUAAGGAGUGUGGUGCUGGAUCAGAUGUCUUUGCAUGUGGAUUAAUUGACCCUUCAGAGAAAAUUCAGAUUCCUUGAGAAAGGAAAGUGUGGCUGUUGCCUUUAAUUCAGCCUCAGUGUGACUAAGAUAAAGACGAGGGCGUAUAUGCAAUGAUUGCCACUCCAAACACAGGUACUCAAAUUAAAGAUCUGUGACUUUUCUAGAGAUCGGACAAGCAAUCUACAGCAAUAGAUUUGGGGAAAAUGUGCCUUGCUCUGCUUGAUGCCUAUGAUAUAAAAUAUCUUAUAGAUUUGUUAUUACCUGUAUUUUCUCUCUGAGUUUUGUUUUAAGGGAGGGGAAGAAGAGGUGUAUGGUACUUUUUUUCAUCUGGAAGAAGCAGUUUGUGUAGUUAGUAAGGUGACA